GUUGAAACACCAGUUCCCGUACGAUCAUCGAAGUUAAACAACGUCGAGCCUGAUCAGUACCUAGAUGGGUGACCGCUUGGGAAUACCAGGUACAGUA